GAGUUUGAUCCUGGCUCAGAUUGAACGCUGGCGGUAUGCUUUACACAUGCAAGUCGAACGGCAGCACGGGGCAACCUGGUGGCGAGUGGCGAACGGGUGAGUAACAUAUCGGAACAUGUCCGGAAGUGGGGGAUAACGUAGCGAAAGUUACGCUAAUACCGCAUAUGCCCCGAGGGGGAAAGGGGGGGAUCGCAAGACCUCUCGCUUUCGGAGUGGCCGAUAUCGGAUUAGCUAGUAGGCGAGGUAAAGGCUCACCUAGGCGACGAUCCGUAGCUGGUCUGAGAGGACGACCAGCCACACUGGAACUGAGACACGGUCCAGACUCCUACGGGAGGCAGCAGUGGGGAAUUUUGGACAAUGGGGGCAACCCUGAUCCAGCCAUACCGCGUGAGUGAAGAAGGCCUUCGGGUUGUAAAGCUCUUUCGGCAGGAAAGAAAUCGUGCAGGCUAAUAUCCUGUAUGGAUGACGGUACCUGAAGAAGAAGCACCGGCUAACUACGUGCCAGCAGCCGCGGUAAUACGUAGGGUGCGAGCGUUAAUCGGAAUUACUGGGCGUAAAGCGUGCGCAGGCGGUUCCGUAAGACAGAUGUGAAAUCCCCGGGCUUAACCUGGGAACUGCAUUUGUGACUGUGAGACUAGAGUGUAACAGAAGGGGGUAGAAUUCCACGUGUAGCAGUGAAAUGCGUAAAAUUGUGGAGGAAUACCGAUGGGGAAGGCAGCCCCCUUGGGCAAACAUGAACGUUCAUCCAGGAAAGGGGGGGGAGCAAACAGGAUAAGAUACCCUGGUAGUCCACGCCCUAAAGGAUGUCAACUAGGGGUUGGGGAAGGAGACUUCUUUAGUACCGCAGCUAACGCGUGAAGUUGACCGCCUGGGGAGUACGGUCGCAAGAUUAAAACUAAAAGGGAUUGACGGGGACCCGCACAAGCGGUGGAUUAUGUGGAUUAAUUCGAUGCAACGCGAAAAACCUUACCUACCCCUGACAUGCCAGGAAGAUUUCAGAGAUGAGAUUGUGCCCGAAAGGGAACCUGGACACAGGUGCUGCAUGGCUGUCGUCAGCUCGUGUCGUGAGAUGUUGGGUUAAGUCCCGCAACGAGCGCAACCCUCGCCCUUAGUUGCCAUCAUUCAGUUGGGCACUCUAGGGGGACUGCCGGUGAUAAGCCGGAGGAAGGUGGGGAUGACGUCAAGUCCUCAUGGCCCUUACGGGCUGGGCUACACACGUGCUACAAUGGCGGUGACAGUGGGCAGCAAGGCAGCAAUGCCAAGCUAAUCUCAAAAAGCCGUCUCAGUUCGGAUUGAGGUCUGCAACUCGACCUCAUGAAGUUGGAAUCGCUAGUAAUCGCGGAUCAGAACGCCGCGGUGAAUACGUUCCCGGGCCUUGUACACACCGCCCGUCACACCAUGGGAGUUGGUUUUACCCGAAGGCGAUGCGCUAACCGCAAGGGGGCAGUCGACCACGGUAGGGUCAGCGACUGGGGUGAAGUCGUAACAAGGUAACCGUA
rnacentral:rRNA from 1 species